UACCUGCACCUCAUGUUAUAUAUUAAUGGAGUUUCUUUGAAGCUUUUGCACAAGGAUUUGUUCAAACGAAAUCCAUUUACUUGUUCCUCUCUUUACCUAAGGAGAAUCAAAAUUGAUAUGCAAAGACAGUUUCUCGGUUGAUUUCUUUCUGUUUUGACUGACUGGUGCCUUUUGAAUUGCAGUAAGUAAUUGUUUUUGAAACCAUGAAGCCUAAUGAAGGAAAAUAUCAUGCACAGCCCGAUAAAUCUUUCAGAUUGUCUCUGCAACGUUACUGAUUCUUGUGCUUUGUGGAUUUUCUUUCUAUCUUGGUGGAAUCUUCUGUUCCGAGAAAAUUCGGUUGGAGGGCAAUAUAGUGCAGAAUGUUUCCAAGACUGUUUCUUCUCGAAACGAGCCUGCUGUAAACCCCCUUCGAAUCGAAUCGGCUGCUUUCCCGGAAUGCAGCAUUGAUUAUCAGGAUUACACUCCAUGCACUGAUCCCAGGAGGUGGAGGAAGUACAGUUCGCAUCGGCUUACGUUCUUGGAAUGUCACUGCCCUCCGAUGUUAGAGAGGAAGCAAUGCUUGGUUCCACCUCCUGAUGGCUAUAAGCCACCAAUCAGAUGGCCGAAGAGUCACGAUUAAUGUUGGUACAGGAAUGUGCCGUGUAAUUGGAUCAAUAAGCAGAAGUCUAAUCAGAACUGGUUGAGGAAACAAGGGGAGAAAUUCAUGUUCCCUGGUGGUGGCACUAUGUUCCCUAGAGGAGU